rnacentral:rRNA from 1 species
UACGUAGGGUGCGAGCGUUGUCCGGAAUUAUUGGGCGUAAAGAGCUUGUAGGCGGUCUGUCGCGUCUGCUGUGAAAACCCGAGGCUCAACCUCGGGCCUGCAGUGGGUACGGGCAGACUAGAGUGCGGUAGGGGAGAUUGGAAUUCCUGGUGUAGCGGUGGAAUGCGCAGAUAUCAGGAGGAACACCAAUGGCGAAGGCAGAUCUCUGGGCCGUAACUGACGCUGAGGAGCGAAAGCAUGGGGAGCGAACAGG